CCUACGGGAGGCAGCAGUGGGGAAUAUUGGGCAAUGGGCGCAAGCCUGACCCAGCAACGCCGCGUGAAGGAAGAAGGCUUUCGGGUUGUAAACUUCUUUUCUCAGGGACGAAGCAAGUGACGGUACCUGAGGAAUAAGCCACUGCUAACUACGUGCCAGCAGCCGCGUUAAUACGUAGGUGGCAAGCGUUAUCCGGAUUUACUGGGUGUAAAGGGCGUGUAGGCGGGAAAGCAAGUCAGAUGUGAAAACCAUGGGCUCAACCUGUGGACUGCAUUUGAAACUGUAUGUCUUGAGUACUGGAGAGGAAGACGGAAUUCAUGGUGUAGCGGUGAAAUGCGUAGAUAUUAGGAGGAACACCAGUGGCGAAGGC
rnacentral:rRNA from 1 species